AUUGAACGCUGGCGGCAUGCCUUACACAUGCAAGUCGAACGGCAGCGCGGGGCAACCUGGCGGCGAGUGGCGAACGGGUGAGUAACAUAUCGGAACAUACCCUAGAGUGGGGGAUAACGUAGCGAAAGUUACGCUAAUACCGCAUACGCACCAAGGUGGAAAGUGGGGGAUCUUCGGACCUCAUGCUCAUGGAGUGGCCGAUAUCUGAUUAGCUAGUUGGUGAGGUAAAGGCUCACCAAGGCGACGAUCAGUAGCUGGUUUGAGAGAACGACCAGCCACACUGGAACUGAGGCACGGUCCAGACUCCUACGGGAGGCAGCAGUGGGGAAUUUUGGACAAUGGGGGGCAACCCUGAUCCAGCAAUGCCGCGUGAGUGAAGAAGGCC
rnacentral:rRNA from 1 species